CCUACGGGAGGCAGCAGUGAGGAAUAUUGGUCAAUGGACGAGAGUCUGAACCAGCCAAGUAGCGUGAAGGAUGACUGCCCUAUGGGUUGUAAACUUCUUUUAUAUGGGAAUAAAAUGUUCCACGUGUGGGAUUUUGUAUGUACCAUAUGAAUAAGGAUCGGCUAACUCCGUGCCAGCAGCCGCGGUAAUACGGAGGAUCCGCGCGUUAUCCGGAUUUAUUGGGUUUAAAGGGAGCGUAGGUGGAUUGUUAAGUCAGUUGUGAAAGUUUGCGGCUCAACCGUAAAAUUGCAGUUGAAACUGGCAGUCUUGAGUACAGUAGAGGUGGGCGGAAUUCGUGGUGUAGCGGUGAAAUGCUUAGAUAUCACGAAGAACGCCGAUUGCGAAGGCAGUUCACUGGACUGCAACUGACACUGAGGCUCGAAAGUGUGGGUAUCAAACAGGAUUAGAUACCCUAGUAGUC
rnacentral:rRNA from 1 species